rnacentral:lncRNA from 1 species
UAUGAGAUGGUCUUUGAUGACAGUUUUACAAUUGGAGGACGAGGGUUCCCUUAUCACCUGGAAGACUUUGAUGCAUAUCCUUGUCUGCCCCAGCAAUCCAAUCUCAUUAAAAAGACUCAGAUGGGAGCACCAUGGUACCAAAGUGUUGCUGAUGUUUUUAAUUUGUUUAAGUUAUUGCGCAUGAAAAUAUUAACCAAUACUAAAAUCAAGAAACCAGUUUCCUGUAUGCAACGAAACUUUGAGAGAAAGAUGUUGUCUAAUAAAGACAGUAUUGUGGACAGUCAUGUUGUUCAUGCCAAUCUUGUACCUCAGUCAGAUGACACAAAGAAGCCCAAACCACGGACAUAUUUCCCAGAAACUUGGAUAUGGGAUUUGGUCCCAGUCAGGUUGGUAAUAG